GGGGUUUGCCACAGGUUCAGAAGGCCUGAUAUGGGGGAGGAUAAACUUUAGGCACCCCUCAUCUGUGAAAAGCUUGUGGAGGCCAGAGAGAGAGGGGUGGAUUUCUUAAUCCUCCCUCUGCCUUCUAACAUAAUCUUUCUCCCUAUCCAGAGCAUCAGUAGGAUGAAUUAGCUGGCAUUCAGGUUUGGGUAGGAAUCAAGAAGUACCUGGGAAGAGACAAGCAGCCAUUGCCCGUCCCUUGGCUAGUGUGAAAACUGUAUUUGAUUACAUUUACUUCUUACCCAUAAUCCCUACCUUCCCCUAUUCCUCUGCUCAUUCUUUAUUGCCAUUCUUUAGCAUGUAAACUCCUAGGAGACAGUGAUCAAUGUUAUUUUGCCUCUUUUUUUGCUGAUUCAGCACUGUACCAGACACAUUAAUAGUGCUGUGAAAUAAUAAUAAUAAUAAUAAUAAUAAUAAUAAUAAUAAUGUACUCUUUGUAGAAAUAAAUAGCUGCAUUAAUCAAUGAAGUGAUUUGGUGGUCAGUGGGGUAGAAAGGAAGAGAAUAUUCUUUUAGAAUCAUAGAUUUGUAGAGUUGGAAGGGGUCCUGAGGGUCAUCUAGUCCAAUCCCCUGCAAUGCAGGAAUCUUAGCUUAAGCAUCCGUGACAGACAGACAGCCAACUCUGCUUAUAAAUCUCCAAGGAAGAAGAGGCCACCACUUUCUGAAUGAGUCCGUUCUACUGUCGAACAGCUCUUAAUGUCAGAAAGUUCUUCCUGAUGUUUAGUCAGAAUCUCAUUUCUUGUAACUUGAAGCCAUUGGUUCGGGUCCUACCCUCCAGAGCAGGAGAAAACAAGCUUGCUCCUUCUUCCAUGUGGCAGCCCUUGAGAUAUUUGAAGAUGGCUAUGAUACCUCCUCUCAUUCUCCUCUUCUCCAGGCUAAAAGGACCCAAGUCCCUCAACUGCCCCAAAUUGCUGGGUUUCCAGAACCUUGAUCAUCUUGGUCUCCCUCCUCUGCACGUGUUCCAGCUUGUCAAUAUCCUUCUUGAAUUGUGGCACCCGAAACUGGACACAGUAUUCCACUAUACUUCUGUUGAUGCCGCCUAGAAGAGCAUUCACUUUUUUUGCUGCUGCAUCCCACUGUUGACUUAUGUUAAGCUUGUGGUCUGCUAAGACCCCUAGAUCCUUCUCACAUGUACUGCUGGUAAGCCAGGUGACCCCCAUCUUGUAUCCUGCCAAAGUGUAGAACCUUGCACUUGUCCCUACUGAGAUUCAGUUUGUUAGUUUUGGCCCAGUUCUCCAAUCUGUUGUGUUGAAUUCUGAAUCUAUCUUCUAAGCCUAAGGUAUUAGCUGCCCAUCCCAGUUUGGUAUCACCUGCAGAUUUGAUGAGGCUGUCCUCAGUUCCUUUGUCCAAGUUGUUUAUGAAGACCUUGAACAACAACAAAUCCAGGACAGAACACCGUGGCACCCUACUUGUCAUUUUUUCCCAGGCUGAUGAGUAACCAUUAGUGAGCAUUCUUUGGGUUCCGUUAGUCAACCAGCUACAAAUCCACCCAACAGUGAUGUCAUCCAGUCCAAACUGCUAUCUUUCAGCCUCAGAUCCCUACCAUCAGAUAUGGUGCCAGAAUCUGGGGGACCAUCAGAGCUGGGCUGCCAAUGGGGGACUUCUACACACCCCAGCACACACACACCCCAACACACACACACACAGAGAGAGAGAGAAGUGCAGCCACAGCAUGCCUAGAAACUGACUUCAGCUUCUGGUCCAAAGUGGUACUGCCACUUGCCCACCACUGAAAUGUCUGUUGGGGGCCAGAUCAAGAGGGUGGUAAGUGGCAGGACCACAAAGUUGGUCCAUUGAAGGGUCCUUCUGAGCUUCUGAAGUCCAUGGCCAAUGCCUAACCUAGCUGACCACUGGCUCCAGGCCUGCAAUAUAAUCCUAAGGAAAUUGACCUCCCUUAUAGGAUUACUAGUACAUAAGUACAGUACUUUGGACACUCAAAAAGUGCCAUGGGCAAUGGUAUAGCUAAGUAGUUUUAGCCCCUAGACUUAGUGGCUUUAAUUGCCCCCCUUUAAUUGCCCCACAUGUACAACUUCAGUUGUGAAACACAACCUUGACAUUUCUCUUCUCCCUCACCCAGCCAUUCCACGCUUUUCACAACUGUCACAACAUUCCUGAUGCGUUAGCAAACAAAACAAAAAGUUUGCCGACGCCGUUUAAAAGAAAGGAAAAUGCUAUGAGCAUAUGCAGUUUUACAUUUCACACUCACUUAAAUCUUAGCACCGCCAUGACCACAGAAAUGAAAUUAUGUUUCCUCCUGCUGUUCUCAUGCCAAUUUGAGAAUAAACACCCUUUUGUCAUGGGAAGGAUAUAUUUCCCCCCAAAACCUGGUUAAUAAAAUGUGGAUCCAUAGCUAAACAUAUGCCUGCCUUGCUGGCAACCCACCCUGCAACUCUAAUGUUUUCAAAAAUAAGAAGAAAGGAUGUCUGCAGGAACCGACAUCAUCCUCCGUGGGUCCUGGCAUGCUAAUCACCAGCCCAACUUCUGUUGCUGGGCCUGUCUGCUCCUACCCCAUACGCUGCUGCUCUCUGGGUUGUCAGUUGGGGGGUCCUGGACUUUGGCUCACAAAAUCCACUCUGAGUUUUACCACUGUCUGUGGACAUUAUCUAGCCAAAGUUAUGCUCUUCAAAAUCCCAUGAGUUUCAGUGGGAGAAAUGUAAGCAUGUCAGUAAAAUCCUCAGGGUUUAAAAUCAUAUUAUUAUUAUUAUUAUUAUUAUUAUUAAUCGUUGACAGGAUCUUUUGGGUGCAGUGACCUCUGUUUCCAUUUGCUCCCUUGCAGAUUCAAGAAGAAAUCCAUCAUGUCCGCAGACUCCUGGCAACACUCAUAUGCCUUUGUCACGCCAACACAAUAUCUUUCCAGUUCAAUUUCAUUGACAUUUGCCGCUUGCUUUCUCAUGCCUUUCCCCUACUCCGGGCUCCUCUGCUCUGACCACACGUCCCAAACCAUUUCGCCCUUGCCCAUUCUUAUUAUUUAUUAUUUAUUGUAUACAUUUCCAAACUGUCCUUCAAUAGAAAUUUUCUGGGCAGUUUCCCAUCGUUCCUUUUCUCCUCCCUCCCCCCCCGCCCCGCCGCCGCCGCCCCGUUCCCUUUCAAUUCUCAAAGGAAAAGUUUGCCAAGAACUCUUCCCAUCACAGCCGCCUCUUCUGGAACCUGAUUGGCUGUGAGCUGUAAAUGGCUGGCAUUCCAUCUGUGGCCAAGCCCUGCAACGCAGUCCUUGUUGAUGGUGCUGAAAUGGACAGCUCCAUUCCUGCUUGAAGCAAGCAGGGUGUUCCUUCUUCCGCUUCUCUCGGAGCACACGCACGCACUCAACAACUUCCCAAAAUCCUGGGAACUGUAGUUCGUUAGAGGUGCCGAAAGCUGUUGGGAGACCCUUAACACACACACACAGGCAAACCAGAGUUUCUAGGAUUUGUGGGGAGCCACGUCUGUUUAAAGUUGCACAAGAGCGCUUUGAAUGCACCGUGUGGAUGUGCGGAUGUGGCAGGCAAACGCCACAUUUCCACAUAUUCAUGAACAUCGUGAGGACAGGCACCAUAGACCAAGCCACGCCCACUUCUUCUGGUGACGUUGGAUGCUCACUUCCUGUAGGGCGAGCUGGCUGGGGGAACUUUUUCAGUCCAGGGGCCACAUUGCCUCUCAUGGGCAGUGCCGGAUUUACAUAUAAGCUAAAGAAGCCCUAUAGCUUAGGGCCCCACUCUCUUGGGGCCCCCAAAAAAAAUUAUAGGGGAAAAAGCUGGAUGUACAUUUC